CCACGCCUCUCCGGCCGGGUCCUGCUGCCACGCGCUGCUCGGAUGCUUUGCGAGGAGACGUGGACCGCCGAGCUGCACCAGGCUUGCGGUUAGCUGGAGCCGCCGCAGAGCUAGCCCGGCCUCUUAAAGGGACAAGCAGCUUCCGCAGCGCUCGUUUCUGGAUUUAGGUCUCAGCAUCAUGUACAAAACCUUCUCUGCCCUCCCAGCACCCACCAGGUCUGGAUUGGGAUGCAUCCCCUGGACUAUGCCAGCACCAUGCCUACACACAGCAUGACAGACCAGGUACAUUCUCUUGUCAUCACUGGCGUUUUCAUCUGCAUCUCCACCCCACCCCAACCUCAACCCCCGAUGCUCACUACACCAUGAUCUCCAUCAGGCAGGGACCUUGAACCAGAACCAAGUCUAGUUCAUUGCUGUACUCCUGUGUCCUGGCAUGGUGCCUCGCACAUAAUAGCUUCUCAACAAAGAUGAGUUCAGGGAAACAAAUGAAUGAGCUGUUAGGGCUGGAAAAAAAUCCCUGUAAAGUGCAUCCUAGGUGCUCAAUAAAUGUUAGACUUUCGUAUUUUAA